rnacentral:rRNA from 1 species
GACGUAGGGCGCGAGCGUUGUCCGGAUUUACUGGGCGUAAAGCGUGUGUAGGCGGCUUCGCAAGUUGGAUGUGAAAUCCCACGGCUCAACCGUGGACGUGCAUCCAAAACUGCGUCGCUAGAGUCUCGGAGAGGAAGGUGGAAUGCUUGGUGUAGAGGUGAAAUUCGUAGAUAUCAAGCAGAACACCUGCGGCGAAGGCGGCCUUCUGGACGAUGACUGACGCUGAGACGCGAAAGCGUGGGGAGCAAACAGG